rnacentral:rRNA from 1 species
AUUGAACGCUGGCGGCAGGCUUAACACAUGCAAGUCGAACGAGUGGCGGACGGGUGAGUAAUGCUUGGGAAUCUGACUUAUGGAGGGGGAUAACUACGGGAAACGGUAGCUAAUACCGCAUACCAUAGGAUGGGCCCAGGUGGGAUUAGGUAGUGGGUGGGGUAAAGGCUCACCAAGCCGAAGAUCUCUAGCUGGUCGGAGAGGAUGAACAGCCACACUGGGACUGAUACACGGUCCAGACUCCGACGGGAGGCAGCAGUGGGGAAUAUGGCACAAUGGGCGCAAGCCUGAUGCAGCCAUGCCGCGUGUAUGAAGAAGGCCUUCGGGUUGUAAAGUUCUUUCAGCGAGGAGGCGUUAAUCGCAGAAGAAGCACCGGCUAACUCCGUGCCAGCAGCCGCGGUAAUAC